UGCCGGCGCGCGUGCCUGACUGGGGCCGCCGCCGAGCCGGGCGGCACUGAGUCCCUGGGCGCCGCCGGGCUCAGCCCAUGGUGUGGGCGCCGGCCUCCCGGAGGCCCCGGCUCCCGCCAAUCGCCGAGCAGGGCUGCCGCCCCGACGCGCGGCUCCAGAUCCGGGAGUGCGCGCCGGGGGCGGGGCGGGGCGGGGCGGGGGCGGGGGGUGGCGCGCGGGGCGCGAGCGCGCGUGUCCAGGUGCGCCUGGGUAUCCCAGUGCACAGGAUUCUGUGCGUGCGCGUCCGGGGGGCGCGUGGACGCGGCGCGCGCGUGUCCGGGGGGCGAGCGUGGGUAGCCCAGCGCGCGUGUCCGGGGGGCGCGCCCUGGGGCCAAGGAGCGCGGCGGCGUGGGCAGGUCCGGACACUGCCGGGCUUUGGGGACGCGGCGGGCGGCUCCGAGGAGGAAGAGGAGGAGGACGGCGAGGAGGAGGGGGAGAAAGGGGAGGAGCGGAGCCUGGGACCGGAGAGCCAGAGUCCCGGCCCGGGCGGCGGCGGGAGGAGAACCAGGACGCGCGUCCAGGAGCGGAGAGGAGCGAGAAGCCGAGCACAGGCUGGGGCAGGCGAGGGCCGAGCGGUGGGAGAUGCCGCGGAAGUGCUUCCUCCUCGGAACUUAGAAGUGAUUUUUUUCCCCCGCCUCAACCGUUACACACAUUACAAAUAAUAAAAGUUCAAACCGGUUGUGUCGGAAGAAGGUGAAAAUGACCUCUGGGGCUGCCACGGAUGCUGCUGAGAAUUGACAUAAACGUCGCCCUCAAAUUAAGAGACGGCGAUGCCGGGUGCCACCGGCUUCGGUCACACCUGGAGUCACUACCUGGUGCGCGUCCUGAGAGCCUGGGGCCAGGGUGGAGGGGCUCCGGAGGCGCGGGGCGCAGCCGCUAGGAUGCCGAGCCGUCCGGGAGACCGCCGGGCGGGCCCGACAGACGCAGGGACAGCAGCCCUCGGCAGCAGGGUGUCCCCAAGACGCCGCCUCCGAAAGGGGGAGCCGCGCGCGAGGUUUGGCUCCUCCGGUCCGGCGGCUCUGAAGCCCUCCAGAUGUUACAGCUUAUAAGGGAAUUCUGACUUCAAAACCGCGCUUACCUGGGUGCUGCCUCUCUUCGACCAUGUCCCGCGGGCACCGUCACGACUGUCCAGCGUGAUAGCUAGGAAUUCAUCCCAGACCCUUCCCUUGCAGGCUCUCCCCUUCCAACCAAGUGAAAACUACUCGUGUCUCUCCCUCUCCAAACUUUUUAACAGCCAAGAAUUUCAGCAAACAGCCAGAAAGAAAGCUAAGUCGCGCCCCCACCACCCCCGCCGCAACCCCAAGGGAAGGGAGCGAAAUAAGCACUCCUUUAAUUUGAAAAAUAAUAAUUAAAACUCCCUCAACUUUUAAGGCCGGGCAACAUAAUCUAUUAAUUGGUCGCUAUUAACAUGCCGUUUUAUUGACCAUAGCACACAGAAGUCUGAUUGUGAAGGAGGAGUGUUUUCAAUGAAAGUGGAGUUAUUUUAGCUGUAGACGUGUUUACAUUUCUGUGGUUUAGUCUAUAACUUUCUCUUUCUCUUGCUUCAGAAUUCUGCUCCAUGAAGCAAAGCCCUUAGCUCCCAGACAUUCCAAAAAGUCUGCCAAAAUAAUAGAAAAAAAGAGAGAGAGAGAGAGGGAAGAAAAAACACACGGAGACCCCCAAGUCUGGGUCAGGCUCAGGGUUGUAAGUGGGCAUCAAGAGUAUGCCCCCUCCCUACACACGUUCCAAUUAAAAAAAAAAAAAAAGCCCUUUAGUGCUCUAGUUCCUGUUUGCUGAGGGGGGAAAUAGGAUGAGUCUAAAGAAGCAGCGGAGUUUAGAAACCGCCUUCUCUAGGACCUAUAGAUUCUGAGAGGUUCUUUAACCCUACAGAUGCCAAAAUGAGAUCAUUGAUACGAAAAUCUACCACUCCACCCUCUCCGAGGAAGUGUUUCUCUUUUAAACAGACAAGCCUCACAAGCUACAAAUGCAUUCCUAGGAAAUUUCUUGGACAAACAGGCACACCACUGCAUAUGGGACACAAGCCCACCUCUCCAUAGGUGGGCAGAAGAUACCAAUAAAAAGGAAAUAUCGAAAACAGACCAAGUUUCUGAGAAGCAUGCAGUCCUUUUCUCUCCGAGGUCCUGGUACAAAAAGCAGAAUGCAUACUGAAAUGUGCAUCUCAGUAAUAGGACCAUAUCAGUUUUUACAGUCUGUGCUAGAAUCGUCAUUUGCAAAAUUGACUGACUCCUUUGAACUGCUCCGUCGGUAGUAGUAACACAGAACAGUAGGAGCACAGAAGUGUCACUGCCGUUCACGAGAUCUUAAAAAAUAUCCAACCUGCCUUCCCCCUUAAUUGCAUAUUUUGGUUUCUUUUCUUUAGAGCUAUUCUCCAAAGAAGCCCCGCAUCCAAGCAACCUGGCUGUAUUUAGAAAUCUUGCUCUUGGCCAUUCACAUCCAACACGCCACAGGGAGCCCUUAAGAUUCUGUUGUUUGGUGGCUAAGUCACAUCCAGUUCUUCAAGACCCCAUGGACUCUCCUCUGCCAUGGGGUUUCCCAGCCAAGAAUACUGGGAUGGAUUGCCAUUUCCUUCUCCAAGGGGUCUUCCCGACCCAGGGGUCAAACCCACAUCUGCAUUGCUGGUGAUCUUCACCACUGAGUCACCCGAGAAGCCACCUUUAUGAUUUAGGGGAGUGCUUUAAAGUGAAUCAUUUCUCCCCCUGACCACUGAGAUCAGGAGCCCCUAGC
ensembl:lncRNA